rnacentral:rRNA from 1 species
CCUACGGGAGGCAGCAGUGAGGAAUAUUGGUCAAUGGGCGGAAGCCUGAACCAGCCAAGUAGCGUGCAGGAUGACGGCCCUAUGGGUUGUAAACUGCUUUUGCAGGGGGAUAAAGUGAGUCACGUGUGACUUAUUGCAGGUACCCUGCGAAUAAGGACCGGCUAAUUCCGUGCCAGCAGCCGCGGUAAUA